rnacentral:pre_miRNA from 1 species
GAGACACCCCUCCGGGGCAAGACUUGCUUCAAUGGGGCUUUGGUGCUCACAGAGUCUGCCCCCUGAGUGUGUCUUU